ACAGAGGUCUCAAGCGUUGUUCGGAAUCACUGGGCGUAAAGCGUGCGUAGGCUGUUUCGUAAGUCGUGUGUGAAAGGCGCGGGCUCAACCCGCGGACGGCACAUGAUACUGCGAGACUAGAGUAAUGGAGGGGGAACCGGAAUUCUCGGUGUAGCAGUGAAAUGCGUAGAUAUCGAGAGGAACACUCGUGGCGAAGGCGGGUUCCUGGACAUUAACUGACGCUGAGGCACGAAGGCCAGGGGAGCGAAAGG
rnacentral:rRNA from 2 species